ensembl:lncRNA
UGCCCCUUUCCUUUUUUUUUAAAAAAAAGAUUUUAUUUAUUUAUUCAGAGAGAGAGAGAGAGAGGCAGAGACACAGGCAGAGGGAGAAGCAGGCUCCAUGCAGGGAGCCCGACGUGGGACUCGAUCCCAGGACUCCAGGAUCAGGCCCUGGGCUGAAGGUGGCGCCAAACUGCUGCCCCUUUCCUGCCUCCCAUGUCCCUUCCCCAUGUCCCUUCUCCAGCGCUGGCCUGGAUGCAGCUGCGGCCAUGCCCACAGGUCUUCAACGGAUGUGGCGGAGCCACGUUCAGCCCAAGCUGCGACUUCUCCAGGUGGUGCUCCUGCUGGGGAAGAGCCACGUUCUCACUGCAGCCCCCGUGAAGUCCCCUCCCCUUGGGUGUGCUGGGCGGAGGAGGCGCCUUAGCCCUGGAGUCAAGGUCACUUUGGGAGCAGGUGCCUCAAGGUGCCCUGAUGGGAAUCUGCUUCACCUGCGUGCGAUCAUCCCCAACCCCACAGCCCUAGAGACCCAUGAGAAAGCAGCAGAGCAACCCAGAUGGGCUGAGGGCAGUCUGGAAACACCUGACCGAUGCUGCUCAAAGCUGUCGAGCCGAGGGCCAAGCGCGAGCCUGGGCCUAGGUGGGGACGGUAUCCAGGGCGCGGGCUGGAGCCCCCAGUCCUACAGGACCGCGUGCGCCCACCAGAUGGCAGCCGUGCCCCGCAGCCCGGACCACCUGCAGCCCUGCAGGUGCCUGGAGGUCAGGUGGGCUGGGGGGGGCUGCCCCCCCGCAGGCCUAACAGGGGUCCGCAGCUAUGAAGGGCACCCGGAGGGCAAGAGGAGGACACCUGUGCUCUUGGGGUCUGAAGCCCUGAGGUCACGGUUCUUCUAUAAUCCACAAGGGAUGGAAAUAUAACUCAGAUUAGCCUGAAAGAGAGGCAACAAAAGCUCACUUUAUUUGCACGGGUCCCUGAAGUCCACGGCUUCCCCACGGCUGCUUCCCAGCACUCUGAUGACGUCAGGAUCUGCUGCUCUUUUCCUAGGCUAAUUCCAUUCUCCGGCAAACUUUGAAAUGGGGAUGCAGUUGGCUGCCAGGCCCCCAGAGGUGCGUCCCAUCAGGUUACAGCUCUGCGGAAGGAGCUGUUUCUUCCCAUACCCUCCCUGAGAGCUCCAUGGCAUCUCCGAGGGGCCCCAGCAACCGUCCCAUCCGUCCCCAGAUCAACACCGUGAUUGUGCUUGGUGUGGCCUGGAUCGAGGGCCUUCUUGAGACCCCAGGUUGGACUGGCUUGGACACAGGUUGCUGGUGCAAAAGGGAGGGGCAUUGGGCAGGCAGGGUGCAGAGCCAGACACAAGUAACCCCGUGGCCACCUGGACUCACCUGGGCUUGGCAUUCAGCCCCCAUAGAGCCUGGCCCGCAGCACCCAGAGCUGUGUCAGGAAGACAAAAUGUUCUGUGGUCCGAAUUUCACGUUUCCUACUCAGUCAAUAGCAAUUAGCUGACUUACCUAGAACUUGUCCUGGGGAGCAAGGGGGCUCUCUCAGUGGUGGAGCUAAGGCUGAGAGAGGAUGCAGAACGGGUUGUUGCCCAAGUGUCAUCUGACGCCUUGGAGGCUGGACCCGACCUGCCGUGAUCUGAACACGCCUUGCGCUCCUGUGGGUUCUCUUUCUGGGUUUGCAGGUACUUUCGUGCUCCAUGUGCAGCCCCACUUGCACCCAGAGCUCUCCUCCUCGAGUCUGGCCUGAGGUGGCCUGAAUGUUUGAGGCCUGGAGGUUGCUUGGUGCUCGGCGGCUGCUCUCCUCGCGAGAGGUCCCGGCCAGGAGCCCAACAGGGGACCUUCCCCACUGUGACCCUGUUGGCCCCUGGCCUUGGACUGCGAGGAUUUGAUGUCUGUUCAUGUCUGUUUAUGAGCCUUCCACCCAAAGUCGACGAGCCGCCGGAUGGACCAGGAUUUGGUCUGAGCUUGGUUUCUGUGCCGUGAACUCUGAUGGCGCUGUUUUCCGACAUGGCUGUGGUGCCAAGUCCCCAGUAUCUGUCCCCCCCGCCCCCCGGCUUCAGUGGGGCACGUGGCCUCCAGGGUAAGGACAGGCCUCCAGCCAUCUCGCAGCUUGGUGCAGCCAGGUGACAAUGCAACCCAGCCCAGGGGUUCCGGGGUGGGGCCAUGUCCUCGUCCUGCAGCCGCAGUAGGUGCGGCAGCAAGGCCUCGGGAGUCUGCCACCUCUGACACCUGGCAGCCAGGACCCCUGGGUCACUCUUAGGAGAGGACACCAUGCAGCAGCCCUGGUCCUUGACCUCUGCACUGACUCGGGGUCGCGUCACCGGCAGCCCAGCUCAGGUGGGGGUGACCCUGACAGACCAACCCCCACGCGGGACCACUGAGCCAGCAGGUGUUGGCAACACUGCCCCUUGCCCUCGGGGGGGACGCGGACGCCGUGGCUCUGGUGACACCUGCACUCCUGCUGGAUUGUGGAACGGGCCAGAGGGCGCCUCGUGCAGCCGGGGGACAUUGACCCCGUGGGGAGCCAGCUGGUGUUUCCUUCACCCUAAAUUCACGUCCUUAACGUGGAAAUAGAUGCCACUUUAUUUUCUCUUUCAUUAAAAAGGGGCCUGACUUGGAUAACGUUUCACUCUGAAAUAAUGAAAGUCUAAAUCUGGGGAAUAAAGACGGGGAGCGGGUUGAGGAGGAGGAGUCC